rnacentral:rRNA from 1 species
UACGAAGGGGGCUAGCGUUGCUCGGAAUCACUGGGCGUAAAGCGCACGUAGGCGGAUUGCUAAGUCAGGGGUGAAAUCCUGGAGCUCAACUCCGGAACUGCCUUUAAGACUGCAUCGCUAGAACGUUGGAGAGGUAAGUGGAAUUCCGAGUGUAGAGGUGAAAUUCGUAGAUAUUCGGAAGAACACCAGUGGCGAAGGCGACUUACUGGACAACAGUUGACGCUGAGGUGCGAAAGCGUGGGGAGCAAACAGG